AUCAAAAACCAGAGCCGACCAAGUAAACUGGAAAAUCCUCCGAGGGAAAGCGGAGAUGGUGGGUGGUGUGCGAGGAGCGAGCAAGAGGCGACCGGAUGCCGUCCGGACGCGGGCAGUGAUCGUGAGCUCUCGCGAGAGAAUUGGACGACGUCGUCGCGCAAAUGGGGAGAGAGAGAGAGAGAGAGCGCCACGCGACCUCAAAACGCACACGAAUCGGAGCCAAAAAAGCCGGUUGGAUCCACCAGCUUCGAUCGUCGCUGCCGACGCCGUCCGAGACUCCGUCUGAUGGGUUGUUGGAGGAGUCUUUUCUGGGCCCAUGGCAGAUCUAGGUUUUCCUGCAGUCAGUUUGGUGAUGCCAUGAUUUUUUAUACCUCCUAAAAGCAAAACAAUUAUGUGGUGCCAUUUGCUACUUCUGUUGGUGUCAAUCACCACAAGCACCUGGUUGGGUGUGCUCUAGUUGCUGAUGAAUCAAAGGAGCCCUUCAAAUGGUUGUUUGAGACAUGGCUCAGGGCAAUGUCUGGCUGCCAUCCCAAGUUGAUAAUAGCUGAUCAUGACGAUUCCAUUCUGCUAGUGCCUGAACAGGUUUUUCCUUCGAGUCAUCAUCGAUUCUCAAUGGGGCAAAUUAAGACAAAAGAACGUGAGUAUUUGAGUCCAGGGUGUCGCCUGAAGGAGAAGAAAUUCAGAGGGAGCCACUGGGAGCUUGAGAGAGCCUCGUUGUCUGUGCAGGUCGUGUGCACCUGAAGAAGAGAGAGAGAGAGAGAGAGAGAAGAUGGUGACUGCCAUGGAUGAAGAGGAUGUCACUUCUGAAGAGAUGAGCAAGAGAGAUCCUGAUAGCUUUUCUUUUCUUCCCCUUUAUGACACUUCUGGUUUUGUGCCUGAAUGUCCGAAGCUCUCUCUUUGAAAAAAAAAGGCUCGUAUAUGCAUAAUUUCCAGGUAAAAGGAGCUGCGAACAGAGACAUAUAUUGCAAACAGAGGUAUAUACACAUGCAGACAGAGGCGCGUGCAUACAGAGACUGUAUAUGUUCCUUGGCUUGAAGGUCACUGCUAUUACAGAAAAUAGACAAUCUAAGCAUCAAAUGAUUGGUAUCCUACUCGAUUCAAUGGAAAUCAGAUUGAGUCA